AUGGACCUUAGGGCUGGCAAAUAUGCUCAUAAACUGUUUAGCAUACAUCAAAAUGCUUUUAUCAAGGGGAGGCAUAUAGUAGAUGGCAUUUUAUCACUACAUGAGAUCAUGCACUACACUCAUAUCAAAAAACAAAAAGGAGUGAUUCUCAAACUUGACUUUGAAAAAGCCUAUGGCAAAGUCAAUUGGGAUUUUUUGCUAGAGUGUCAUGUUAAACGUGGCUUUAACCAAAGAUGGUCUGGGUGGGUAAAUCAGAUCAUAAGGAAUGGGACGGUUAGUGUUAAGAUCAAUGAUGAGAUGGGCCCUUAUAUUCAGAGUGCCAAAGAGGUAAGGCAAGGUGACCCACAUUCUCCGUUCCUAUUUAAUCUUGCAGCAGAAUGUCUGGCCAAGAUGAUGACCUCGGCCCAGAAAAAUGGCCUUAUCAAAGGAUGA
rnacentral:rRNA from 1 species